CCAGACUCCUACGGGAGGCAGCAGUGGGGAAUAUUGCACAAUGGGGGAAACCCUGAUGCAGCGACGCCGCGUGAAGGAAGAAGUAUUUCGGUAUGUAAACUUCUAUCAGCAGGGAAGAAAAUGACGGUACCUGACUAAGAAGCCCCGGCUGACUACGUGCCAGCAGCCGCGGUAAUACGUAGGGGGCAAGCGUUAUCCGGAUUUACUGGGUGUAAAGGGAGCGUAGACGGCAGUGCAAGUCUGGAGUGAAAGGCGGGGGCUCAACCCCCGGACUGCUCUGGAAACUGUACGGCUGGAGUGCAGGAGAGGUAAGUGGAAUUCCUAGUGUAGCGGUGAAAUGCGUAGAUAUUAGGAGGAACACCAGUGGCGAAGGCGGCUUACUGGACUGUAACUGACGUUGAGGCUCGAAAGCGUGGGGAGCAAACAGGAUUAGAUACCCUCGUAGGC
rnacentral:rRNA from 1 species